rnacentral:rRNA from 1 species
GACGAACGCUGGCGGCGUGCUUAACACAUGCAAGUCGAGCGGUAAGGCCCUUUCGGGGGUACACGAGCGGCGAACGGGUGAGUAACACGUGGGUGACCUGCCCUCAGCUCUGGGAUAAGCCUGGGAAACUGGGUCUAAUACCGGAUAUGACUCCAUGACGCAUGUUGUGGGGUGGAAAGCCUUGUGCGGCUGAGGAUGGGCCCGCGGCCUAUCAGCUUGUUGGUGGGGUGAUGGCCUACCAAGGCGACGACGGGUAGCCGGCCUGAGAGGGCGACCGGCCACACUGGGACUGAGACACGGCCCAGACUCCUACGGGAGGCAGCAGUGGGGAAUCUUGCGCAAUGGGCGAAAGCCUGACGCAGCGACGCCGCGUGAGGGAUGACGGCCUCGGU